CAGAGGCGGGCAGGACAAAAUGGCGGCCAGAGGAGAUGUGGGGGCGGUUUCGAUUGUUCUGCGGGGUUCCCCAAGGGUACGGGGUGGGGGAGAAGCCUUUGUGAAGGCAGAGUUGUGGGGUCUUGGCUCUGCUGCUAGGACGUCCCCUCUGUAAGGCGUUGAGUGUUAUCUGUUGCCACAAGAUAGGCCUGUGCUAGCUUCUUCAGGUCUCCUCCUAGGGAAAGGUUCCCUCAGGUGUUCAGGAGCUAUUAGAGCAAGCAGCUGGUUGCCCUGGUUCUCCUACGUGCCCUCUGCUUAGGUUGGCCUCUCUCAACUACUUCAUCAGCCGUGUUGCUGGAGUCUUUGCUGCUCUAGCUUUCUUCCACAGGUUAUUUUUGCUAAAAAAAAAAAAAAAUAAAAAAAAUGCAGACAGGGAGAAACCUCAGCAUAGGUGGGAGUGGUGCUUGCUUUCCUGAUGUUCUAGUUGUUACUUCCCUCAGGGGUUUUUAACCUUACAGCUCAAGAGGCCAUCCAGGCUGGAAGGUGCUCCAGCACCUAACAGAUUUUAGGGUAUUGUGUUUCAGUAGUGCUAAUUACACAAAAGGAAAGGAAUUGUGCUGUAAUUAGAUUAUUCUUUAAAUGCAUUUACAUGUAUGUUUGUGUGCUUGGUAUCCUGGAUAGUUUACAAAAUAAAAUGACUGAAACAGUUGAAUGCAAACAAAGAUGAAAGAUUCGGUCUUAGUAAGCCCUUUGAAGCAAGAUUUAGGGCAAUGCAACUGCUUGCAUAAGGAAGGAUGACCCUCAGGGAGUGAUCUCUGUAUUGUAAAGUUUUAAGUAGGCCAGAUGACACCUUUGAAAAUCUCUGUGAAGGGUAAAGAAAGAUAGUGAGUAAUGAUGGGUUGAUUUCACAUUCCCUUUGCUGUUUUUGCCCUUCUCUCUGUGCUCGAUCUGCUGAAUGUGUUUAUUUUGGAGCACCAUGACACAGCGCAUAACACUUGACAAAUGAAGUGGUGAUGUGAAAAUAAUAAUUACAUAUAAAAUACUGUUGUGUUAAUACUGCCAAAGAGAAGAUUCAGUUGAUGUUGAUGUUGUUUUUCAGGCAUUUGCUAUCUGGCUCACAAUAGCUAGAAACUUUGCCAGGGAAAUGCAAAUCAAUCCUGCCAAGUUCAAGAGUAAGCUUCAGACAAGUCUGUAUUUUGUCAGUUUCUGGUUUUUAGUAAAGCUCAUCUGCAACAUAAUUGCAACCAUUCAAACUAGGAUAAAUAUGUAUCUUCAUGUAAUUGUAAGCCUGUUUAGCUACAGCUAAAUAAACAGCAGCUGAUAAGAUUUCUUGAUGGCAUCCAGCUGUAGCUACGCUUGGUAUAAUUGGCCAUUUUUUUCCUGAAGACUUUUGUUCUGGGGAACCUUUAAGAGCUGUGGGCUGACUGCUCAGAGACCUUGUAACAACUGAGUGCAGUCAUCUGUGUGAAAAAUUAAGCAGCUUGUUAGAGCUGUCAAGGAAAACAUGAUGCAGCAUGAUCAGAUGUAUUCAUGUAAAUGUUCAAGGCCCCCUCAGCCGAGGAGAUGAGACCAGACUGAGGAAUUCAGAAGUGCAUCUAAGAAUUGCCAAGGAACUAAUUUGAUGCUAACACAGAAUACAACCUGUGUGUAUAUAACAGGUUUUUACUACUUUAGACAUGGUGAAACUGGUUUUGGUGAUGCUGUUUCCUUGAAGUGCAAAGCACCUAGUCUGUCACCUGUGCCUGUCUGCCAGUGUUUGGAUCACUGUUGAAUACUGUUUUUUUCAUACCGUGGUAGACUUUAAAUAUUCUGGAUCUGCAGCACAGGACUAGAAAAUUGCCUUAGCUCUUUGGUGGUGGGUGAAGUUUCAGUCCUGCUUUGUUGCUUUCAGUAGAAGAGUGAAAUUACUCUCGCGCUGCUGGAUGGGGAUUCUGUUUUUUGUUCCCAUAAAGCAGGUUCAAGUCCUGAAUCCAAAGUGUUUGGACAUCCUAGGUUUUAUCCUUUCCCCUCGAUGCCAGAAGGGAUAGAUACUGCUGCUGAAUGCUUACACUUUGCACUUUUAGCAUAGUAUGGUCACCUAAGGAAUCAUAAAAGAUGUAGCUUCCUGGCACCCUCCUCUUCCUUAGAGAAACAACAGUUGAAAGACGGCAACUUUUUUUUUGUGCAGAGUCAAUACAGCUGCUGGGAGCUCUUGCUUUGCACAGAGGUUAAAGAAUCCCUUACAGGAAUUAACACUGAUUAACAGCCAGUCCAGCCAAGUUGUAAUCUGAAGAUUUUGUGUGACUUAAAUCUUUGGGCCUUCAGGUUGCAAAAGAGUGCCUAAUUAAAAGGGGCACUUGCCAGGGACGAGGUGCAACUUGUUACUGUGAUAUGCUGUAAAUCAUGAUGUUUCUGCUUCAUACCUAUUUGACAAAGUACCAUUUACUUCCUGGUGUGGAAUGGAUUUAUAACUUUAGUGGAUUUAGCAUUAGCUUCUCAUCAAUCAUCCUGUCACUGAACUUCCCACAAGAAAUUCUCCAUAAGGAAAAAACAGAGAUUUUCCUUUUCCAGAAGGACAUGCAGAGUUUCCAGAGGAGAUUUCAAAAGUCAGAAUAAAGGCAUUUGCUCAUAUUAUCAUAUCAGACUUCCCCCGCUACUUCUCUUUCCCUGCAGACCAAAGGUAUGCAUAAUGAAAGUGAAGUUCCUAAGUAAAUACCAUGACACUUCGGGUGAGCUAGUCAUACAGUACUAGUUUUCCCCUCUCAGUCAACAAGAAAGAAUUCUGCUUUCUGGAAAUUGUGCAUUUUAUUUUGCAGCCUGCUUUGCACACUGAAAACAGCUUUGAAUUUUGUACUAUGAAGUGCCACCACUGGAAUUUUCCUACAGCCCAAACAAUUUUACCACUGGAUGAUAAUCUCCUCAGAUGUGCUGUCCCUAGUUUAAGCACCACAUAUCAUACAACAAGACAUACUCCAGGCACUCCUCAAUGUAGAGUCUAGUUUCAAAAGACCUGCUCCUCUAAGCCUUGUCUGUGGCAGGAAGAAUAAGAGUAGUACUAGUUCUAAUGCUUUUCAGCUGGUGGGGAGCUCAACAGAACAUUUUGUGACAUGGGUGCAUAUGUUUAUGCAUAAAAAAACAAAUGGAGAUUUAAGAGGACAGUAUCACACAAAAAAGAAUAGUACAGAUUAUUCGUUAUCAGGGUAAUACUUAUGUGAUGAGACUAUUUGUGCUGAAAAAAACAUAUCUGUGUGUAAAGAACUUCAACUUUAUAUCUCCUCCCAUUCAGCUAGAGUUGUCACAUGGCCCUUUCUAUAGACAUAGGGAUAGCUGGUAAAACUGCAAUGGAGAGUUAAUGCACAGGUAGGCGAAGUACGCAAGUGUACUUCGCAAUGCUGUGAGAGCUCUGUAAUGCAUGUAAAUCUUAGUAUUAAAAAAAGUAUGGAAGCUUGUUUA